ensembl:lncRNA
GUUUAUACACAAAUUUUCACAUUUUAAUGGUCAAUUUCAGUUAAACCACACGUGCAGUGUACAAGUUUUGCUGGAAAUAUACCCGUUUUAUCUGCUAUUCUGUACUAUAACAAUUUUAUCUACUGUACCUAUUUUAAUCUACUAAACCGUACUAUACUACACAAUACUAUUACGAUUUUAUCUACUGUACUGCACAAUAAUAAAGAUACUGUAUCUCAGCUUUGGAGCAUGAUCGAGCAAAACUGUGUGCACUCCUGUGUUACUCUUGAUCUCCCUAACGCACCCUGUGAAUUUGGGGACGAUCUGAGAACGUCAAAUUUUUCACCCAAAUAGAAAAAUGGUAAGGGGUUAACCUUUGUGAUUUUUUUGGGGUCAAAAAUUCAUCGUUCUCAGACUUACACCAAAUUCAUACGGUGCGUUAGGGAGGUCAAAACGAACAGACGAGUCUGAUUCGUUUCGUCCGAUCAUGCUCCAGAGCCGAGAUCUGAGCCUCUCAUUUCCGGUUUAUUACACUCAAUAAAAUAUACGGGUUUAUACACAAAUUUUCACAUUUUAAUGGUCAAUUUCAGUUAAACCACAUGUGCAAUGUACAAGUUUUGAUGGAAAUAUACC